CCUCCGCCUGCUGCGCUCCCUCUGCGGCCUGAGAGGGUCGAGAUCUUGUCUUUACAUCUGUGCCGGAGCAGAGGGUGCGCACCUCGGGUGAGAGUUCCGGUGGCGGGCCUCUGCGCGGCCUGGGGAUCUCAGGACAGGUGGUGCGGGAGACUGGAGCAAGAAGUCUCGGGAAUCCCCAGGCUGGCCCUCCCCUCCCCCAACCCCCGGCUGCUCGGCGCGGGUCAGGCCGAGUCCUGGUCCGCGCUGAACCUUCACAGCUCUCUAUACUUACUCACUGAGAAGCAGAAAUGUACAUGUCUCAGGAAUCAGUGUCAUUUGAGGACGUGACUGUGGAAUUCACCCAGGAGGAGUGGCAGCACUUGGGCCCUGUGCAGAGGACACUGCACAGAGAUGUGAUGCUGGAGAACUACAGCCACCUUCUUUCACCUGUUUCACUGGGGUAUUGCAUUAGCAAACCCAAAGUGAUCUUCAAGUUGGAGCAAGGAGAAGAGCCGUGGUCCUUCGAGGACAAAUUCCUCAGCUACAAGUACCCAGGAUAUUAUGAAGUUGAUGACCACAUGAAAAAGAUCGAGGAAAAACAAGGGAAGCCUCUGUGGCAAGGCUUUAGACAAAGACUUGAUGUGUGGCAAUGACAGCUGUGAUAAUUAAACUGGCCCAAAAGAUCUGUUUGAACUCAGUGGAGGAAUGAUCAUGUCUGCAGACCCUUAACACUAACCUUGACUGGAAUAGCAAGACAAUAUCAGGUGAUGUCUGAGCAAGCCACAGUCUUACAGUAUUAUCAGCUGCUUCUCCUCCUAGGACAGUCCACACAGAUUCAUUGCAGGCAUGGAGAAACUGAGAAUUCCUCUUAGAGCUGUUAAGUGUCUGAGGAAUCAGAGGGAUUGUCUCUCAUUUUAGGAUUCCCUAAAUGCAUACACAGUCUCAUAGACAGUUCUUGAAUUAGAGCGUCCUCUUGAGAGAGAGGAAGAGGAAGGAGAGGGAGUGGGGAGAGAGAGGGAGUUCAGUUGUGUCUGAUGAAUGUUUCUUCCAGGACUAGGUUUCCUUAAUCCUUCUCAUCUAAAGAUAGUUUAGAUUUCAUAGCCUCCUUUCCCGGCCCUGACUAAUGGUUUUAAGCUGUAAAACCCAGCAGGUAACCUAAUGUGUUUAUUGCAAAACUCCUCAGAAAUCUUAGUUUAAAGCUUAAAGUUUAGGCCCUAAGGUAAAAAAAAAAAAAAAAAAAAAAAAAAAAUUGUUGACUUUGUUGGGUCUUCUUUUUUUUUAACUUGUAAGAAUGUUCUCUCUAAUCAGUACUUUUUGUCUGGAAACAAGCUUUGACUUCUCAAACUCCGUUGACAACUUGGCUGUGUUUCUGAAUUAUCAGUCUUCUGCUAUUUACAUUUAACAUGUCCCAUGUAGAAAGAAAGUUUUGGCCUUAGAAGUGGCUGGAAAACAUUGGCCCCAAUAAAUUAUAUUCAACCUGUCCUUCAUUAUAAAGAAAUAUUUGGUUGAGAAUGGCUUUUACAUAGGAAGAUCCUAGAAAUGGAUGAAACAUGUGACAAAUGGUCAUUGGUCCAUUGUUAAUAAGGAGAAAAGAAAUUGUCAGAUAGAUAAUUGAAUUAUUGAGAUCUGUCACUGCAAGGGUCAGCCUUUUUUCUUUCCAAAUCAGAGAGCAAUCCUCUCAGACUUCCUUACAUAGCCUUGAACAUGCCAACAAUCUGGGCUCCUGCUGUCUGGAUGGGGGUUACUUCUCUUGAAUUCUCUCUACCUAAUUUGGAAGAAUAAAAUAUAGGCCAUUUUUUAGUCUUCUGCAUGUGUGUGCAUAAAAUGUGUGUGUGCAUCUCAUACAUUUUUUGCAGUUUUAUGAACUUUAAUAAUUGAAUUACUAUGAUUGAAAUUAUUUCUAGCAUAUUGUAUCAGAAAGCAUUCUUAGCUUCUCUGUAAGAGAGAGUUCUUAGAACCUGAGUAUAUUUUUCUGUCUAGAACCAUUCAAGGGCUGAAUUUGUGGACUUAUCAUAUAUUCAACAAUAAUCCUGUAUUUGGUCAAGGGUAUAAGGGAAAUUUCUGUAUAUCUUUUGCAACUUCAUGUGAAUCUACAAUAAUUCCAAAAUAAAAAAAGUUUAAAAAGUAUCUGUGAAAAGAAAUCUCUCAAUAAACAUAAAACUUAAUAAAAAUGGAACCUUUGACAGAAACAGACUGAUAAGCUUUCUGUGGUUGCCUCUUAUGAUUGUUGAUUGAUUAAAAAUUUACCUGUCGCCAAAUAUCACAACUAACAUGUCUGUGACAUAAUCUAUCCAAACAGUCACAUUGGUAUUUGGGAGAUGACAAAACAAGGUGACCAGCAGCUGUUUGACGUUCUUAGUUUAUCUAAAACAUCCCUUAGUGAGGGUUAUUCAAAGCUAUGGGAAGAGGGCUGCACUUAAGAUGAAUGCCCUCAACUGUUACCCCCUCCACUUCCAGCAGGGCUUGAUAAAGGAGGAAUCUGGGUGAGCUAGUGCCCCAACCGACAUGCAGUGCCUCAUGUGACAUAAAUCCAAUGUUAAUGGACUCAAUUCUGUGUCACUUUCUGGAUUUCUGCUUUUUUCUGUUGGGCUAUUUUGUCUAUGAUGACAUCUUUCCUGAGCUGUCUUG